AACUUUUACAAAACAUCAGAAUAGAUCCAGCCUGGAUCAGAUUUGGGGGGGAGUUCCUAGCAACAAUUUUGCCAGUCAUGUCUGAAAUCGCUCUCCUCCACACCGUACGAAUGUCAGUUAUCUGUCCAAGGCUAAACCCUUGAGGAAAGACGUCUGGCCUUAUCUUAUUGCCUGAUGAGAGCUGUCUUCUUUUCACAAGAAAAACACCCAGAAUUAAACAAACAGUCUCAUUAGAAUUUAAGAAUGAACACAAAUAUGCAACAUUUCCCAUUAUGAUAAUAAUGAAAAUUAAUAAAACACAAGACCUUUUCCAACAAUGCUCGAUUGUGACCAAAAGCUAAACUUUAAGUUUAAUGUCCU